ACUUAUUAAUUUUAUUUCUAUCUAAAAAUUUAUGAAAUAUUUUUUAAUAAUAAUUUUUUUAAAAAAAAACUUAAAUACCAGACGAGAUUGUUAUAUAACAAUCUUUAAAUGUAGUCAAAACUAACACGUCACAGCGAAUAAGAGGUCUGUAAUACGGCUUCACUGGGAACUCGAUCCCCACUGAUUUUUUUUUUUUUCGAGUAAUAGUUCUAUGCUCACAUUUUGGGUGGGACUACUACUCCUCUCUUUAUUUCCCUAACUUAUAAAAUAUUACUAAUUAAUAAUUAUAUAACAACUUUAUUUACUAAUUAACUAAUUAAUUAAGUUAUUAGCAAUUAAUCUUAUAAAAUAUUAUUAAUUAAUAUAUUAUAUAACAACUUAUUAACUUAUUAACUAAUUAACUAAUAGCUUAACUAAACUAUUACUAAUACUUAAGGCAAUAAUUUGGUACCCCGUUAUGAUAUUGAUUGUUAAGGUUAAAAUCUUAGUCAACCUUUUACAAUAGAAAGUGUACGUACCAUUUGCACCUGUUAUGAUAUUGAUUGUUAAGGUUAAAAUCUUAGCAACCUUUUACAACAGAAAUAUAUAAUAUUGAUUGCUCGAGUAUCAUGUGAAAUAUAUAAAACAACCGUUGUACUUUAAAAACUUAAAAUUAGUAAAAAAUGGUACUUAAUUUAAAUUUUUUUUAUUCAGCAGAACAUAUAAAUAUUAAAAAUAGUAUUCUCUAAUAACUUAAACUUUUAUAUCAUAUUAAAUUAUACGAAAAAGCUAUUAUUCUUCU
rnacentral:lncRNA from 1 species